GACGAACGCUGGCGGCGUGCUUAACACAUGCAAGUCGAACGGGUCUGCCCUGUUUUUUGCGGGGUGGGUCAGUGGCGAACGGGUGAGUAACACGUGAGUAACCUGCCCCUCACUUCUGGAUAACCGCUUGAAAGGGUGGCUAAUACGGGGGGUUCUGGCUGUGCCGCAUGGUGUGGCUGGGAAAGAUUCACUUUUGUGGUGUUUUGGUGGGGGAUGGGCUCGCGGCCUAUCAGCUUGUUGGUGGGGUGAUGGCCUGCCAAGGCUUUGACGGGUAGCCGGCCUGAGAGGGUGGGCGGUCACACUGGGACUGAGAUACGGCCCAGACUCCUGCGGGAGGCAGCAGUGGGGGGUAUUGCACAAUGGGCGGAAGCCUGAUGCAGCGACGUCGCGUGAGGGAUGGAGGCCUUCGGGUUGUGAACCUCUUUCGCCGGUGAAGAAGGUCCUGCUCUUUGUGGUGGGGUUGACGGUAGCCGGGUUAUGAAGCGCCGGCUAACUACGUG
rnacentral:rRNA from 1 species